rnacentral:lncRNA from 1 species
AUUGCGUCACCUCUCUUCGGGGUGGAGGGGGGGAAUCUCUGCUUAUAGGAGUGUAUUUUGUGAGGAAGAAAACCCAUAAAAUAUCCACGACCUUGCAGCUGUUAAGAAUCCAGACUUUUCAGUCCCAGGGCGGGGCUGCCUUUCCCCCCAUCCCGCUCCCUUUCUUUGGACUAAAGGGAAAGCCUUCCUUUCCUGGGGAUGGGACGCCCGUUUCCACUGAAAGUGAAAUCACUGUGAACAACCUGAAAAUUGGAAAGUUGGACCAGCUGUGGGGAGAGAAAGGUCUUCGUGUCCUUUCCCACGUUCACCGUGCCAGUUACACACAAAGCAGAGAUUUUUUUGCUUGAAUCAUUAAAAGCCGGGUGGGUGGGGGGCACC